rnacentral:rRNA from 1 species
GAUGAACGCUAGCUACAGGCUUAACACAUGCAAGUCGAGGGGUAACGAGAGGAAAGCUUGCUUUCCUUGUCGACGACCGGCGCACGGGUGAGUAACGCGUAUCCAACCUGCCCCCAACUAGGGAAUAACCUUGCGAAAGUAAGACUAAUACCCUAUAAUUUCCUCAGAUGACAUCUGACGAGGAAUAAAGAUUUAUCGGUUGUGGAUGGGGAUGCGUCUGAUUAGCUUGUUGGCGGGGUAACGGCCCACCAAGGCAACGAUCAGUAGGGGUUCUGAGAGGAAGGUCCGCCACAUUGGGACUGAGACACGGUCCAAACUCCUACGGGAGGCAGCAGUGAGGAAUAUUGGUCAAUGGGCGGAAGCCUGAACCAGCCAAGUAGCGUGCAGGAUGACGGCCCUAUGGGUUGUAAACUGCUUUUAUACAGGAAUAAAGUUAGCCACGUGUGGUUAUUUGUAGGUACUGUAUGAAUAAGGACCGGCUAAUUCCGUGCCAGCAGCCGCAGUAA